AUGGUGAGCUCCCCCACCCUCCCCUUCCCACCCCGCCCUUCCCCCCUACUCGCCCCUUUGCUUUGCACGGUUUUGGCCCCUCUGACCGCGGAUUUCCGAUCUAAGCUACUCGUGGUGUAUGAUGUUGUUGGGUUGUUGACAUGGCCCGUGGUCCAGUUGCGGCUCAUACUCAAGGCACGGUCGAGGCUGCUGUUGGGUUGGCGUAGGGGUGUGAGUCGGCGGGUGCCUGCUGCUGGAGCUCAGCCUAUCGCCAGGCGUGGGCGUGGCGCUCGGCAGGUGCCUGCCGCUGGGCGUGGCGCCAUGCCUCGGCCAAGUGGUAGGGGUGUUCGUGGCCAUGUCCCUGGUCGUGGUGCUGAUUCUGGGAAUGCAGCCGCUGCUGUUGUCCCUGGUCGGGUUGCUGAUCCUGGGUUCACCGCCUCUCCUAGGCGUGCGGUGGUCCCUGGGAUUGCUAUAUGUUACGUGCCACAUCAGCCUGUUGGGUGUCCUCCUCGAAGCCGUACAAAGAUUGUUGUCCAAGGGCCUGUGCCGAAGGAUUGGCAAGGUUUCUCGGUCAAGUUUGCCGAGUCCCUUAAAGAUAGGCCGUACUACGGCCCUCCGGAUUUCUUGUGCCAAUACUGUGGUGCCUCCUUAUGGUUUGCUGAGUGUUCAAAGUCUAGGUCAUCCUGGACACAACCUAAUGAGAUUAGACAUAGGAUGAAUGCCUUAAAUCCAGAUGACAAGCCUACUGGGGGUGUGGAUGAGAGUAUUGUGGUUGGUCUUAGAGACAUGCUUAAUGAGUUUAACCCAUUGGUACAAACCUUUCGGGAGGCGAGUAAGAUGAUAGAGGAUCGUGGUGAUGAACCCAUCGAGGAUAUCUCGAUUCGUAUUAUUGGACCUUCGGAGGGUGAUAGUCCACGGUUUAGUUUGCCUACAACCACUGGGCUUGCUGCUUUAGUUGUCGGUGGUGGCUUCACGUUAGAGGCAUCUUCUCGGGAUAUUGUUGUUUGCAGUCGUUCCGACGGUUUGCAGCAGUUAUCUUCUCUGAACACUGCAUUCAUGCCUCUGCAAUACUCGUUGCUUUUCCCUUAUGGAGAGAGAGGGUUCCAGGUGGAUGUUCCUCACUUGAUUGUUCCUGAAGAAGAUGAUGACGAUGGACCUAUAGAUCCUAAUCCUGCACCUGGAAGUCCGACCGUUGAGGCGUCCUCUUCAUACCCUUCUGGGGGUGGUGAUGCUUCCACAAAUAGUCAGAAUAGGAUGACCAUGCAGGAUUACUAUCGUUUUAUGUUCCAUUACAAGGGUGAUCAGCCCAAUCCAUAUAUAUGUUAUGGUCUCCUCUCCUCCCAGUCGGUUGUUGAUGCACGUGCGUGCAUCGAUGAAAGUAGACUGUGGUAUAUCAUAAGAAAUCAGGACAUGCUUAGAUCAGAGCACAUGCAGGGUAUUACUGAUGCGGUAGGUGAUGGGUGUGUUGAUGGUGAUGCUCUUGGGAAGAGGACCAUUGUACCUUCCAGUCACAUAGGCGGUCGUUGUUACUUCCAUGAAAAUUUCCAUGAUGGCCUUGCCGUUUGUCAGGUGCACGGUGCGCCUGACAUAUUUACCACUUUCACUUGCAAUCCCAAGUGGCCUGAGAUCACAAGUGCAUUGGAACCAGGUCAGACGCCUUCUGAUAGGGCGGAUAUUGUUGUUAGGGUCUAUCACAUGAAGCUCAUCGAGUACUUGGACGAGAUUAAGUGA
rnacentral:rRNA from 1 species